rnacentral:rRNA from 1 species
GUGUCAGCAGCCGCGGUAAUACGUAGGGGGCAAGCGUUGUCCGGAUUUACUGGGCGUAAAGCGCGCGUAGGCGGAACGUUAAGUCCGGUCUGAAAGCCCCCGGCUCAACCGGGGAGGGUGGCUGGAAACUGGCGUUCUUGAGGGCGAGAGAGGAGGGUGGAAUUCCUGGUGUAGCGGUGAAAUGCGUAGAGAUCAGGAGGAACACCCGUGGCGAAGGCGGCCCUCUGGCUCGACCCUGACGCUGAGGCGCGAAAGCGUGGGGAGCGAACGGGAUUAGAUACCCCGGUAGUCCACGCCGUAAACGAUGGUCACUAGGUGUGUGCGGUAUCGACCCCGCACGUGCCGGCGCCAACGCAAUAAGUGACCCGCCUGGGGAGUACGGCCGCAAGGUUGAA